UCUCUACCUGGAAAUCAAUAUCAGCCGAUAUCCAGGUUCACUUGGCACUGCAGUCACAACAGAAUGCGCAACAGUUGCGUCUGAACAAGAUAGAGGCAGGUAUACAUCGCGGUCGAUCCCAUUAUUGUUCGCCCAAUAACGGUUCGCCCAGUAAAGUUCUUAUUCUCCCUUGCCACGAACGAGUGUCGAACAUGUGAACUAGAGAAAAAGCCGCGGUGAAUAGAACGCGUGUCGCGUCGCGUCGCGUCGCGUCGCGUCAUGUCAAACAAACGAAACGAUUCGACGCGAUGAACGCGAAAACCUUGGCCUCCGGGCGCAACGUGCUGCGAUCAUGCAAGAUGCAAAAACGUACGAGAAACGAACUGUGAACGCGUUUCAAUUGCAAACUGCCAUCGACAUGUCAGAGAAAAGGCUUUCCAUGGGCAUCAACGUUAGCAUUCUCGUGAUACUAACUAUUUUUGGAGUGUUGCUUUCCUUGCCAUUGCGAUUGCUUUUGAAUACCAAUUACCAUGAAAGUCGAAAUAAAACACUCGGUGAGAAUAAUACGAUACUCGCAACAGAGAGUAUAACAGUCAAGACAGUAGUGAUCCCGGUGGAUCAUCGAAAGUUGAAACGGUGCCCAAAAUUCGAGUACGAAGAUAGAUUAAAGUCAGUUUUUCAAAGUGAUUACGAUGGAAAUUGUACUUACAUGCGAGUCUGUAUAACUAACGAUUCCAAGCAGAAGAAUAACGGAGAGGAUGAAAACGAAUCUGUUAACCGAGAGGACAAUGAAACGUUUAACGCCUUGAAGGAGAUCGUCAGUGAGAAUUUGACGAAAAAAGUUGAAGAAAGUGGAAAGGAUCGUCGAACGAAAUCAGUCCUGGUCGCCGGACACAUUCUUGUAACGAUGCUUCUCAUUUCAGCAAUCGCUGCUCUCGUUGAAGUAUUGCGAAUACGUUUCGCCAAAGACAAGGCAGGUAGUAUCAGCUCAAGAAAAACAUCUACAAUCGACUUUUCCGUUCAGAGGAGGUUCUUACCGAGGUACCCAAUGAAGAGUGCGAGAUCGUUCGAAAUGCAUCGAUCUGCUUUACGCCUAUUAGGUGCGAGACCACCACCUCUUAUUCGUCGCUCGUCAUUUCCAACGCAGCCGUCUAAGCAAAGUUCUGGCUCGAUCAGUGGUACACCGAAUAAUCGAAUAUCAAGACGUCAAUCGGCUGAAUCCGACGAAGAAAUCCGAGCCCUCAUUAGCGCGCUUCAUCACCGCACACGCCUGAUCCGACGGCAUUGAAGUAAGGUUGAUCAUCAUUUUGUAAAAAUUCAUUUAAUGUUAACACUAACAGGGUACAUGUCUUAGACUGAAUGGUUUUACAUAUCGCACAGCAAUUAUGAUUACGAAUUUCUCCAAAAAUUCUUAGUACUUUAGUAGUAAACCUACCAAUCAAAGAGGACUUUAAUGAAAUUGUUGCUUUUCCUGUUUGUACAUUCCAAAUCUGAGAAAUUUUGCAUUACUACUGUUCAACAUCGACUAUAAUUUUAAUUGUUCCUCUUCUCUACGAGGUAGUACAUCUAUAGAAACCGUCUGUAAAUAUCGUAAAAUUUAGAAACAACAGGCCAAUCUAAUCAUGUGAAACUAAUCCAGAGAUAUUUCAAAAUGUUAGAAAUUCUCUUCGAUACCUAUUUUCAUAUUAAUAGCUACACCUUUCUAAACAGCGAGUACUUGAAUACUUGAAUACUUGUCUAAUUUUCAUCGUUUCUGACGUGAUAUGUAAAACGUUAAUCAAAAAUUGUGAAAUAUAUAAUUGAAAAAAGUGAAAUUGUGAAAUAUAUAAUGUACAUGUAU